rnacentral:misc_RNA from 1 species
CUCUUGUACCCAAAAAUCUUUCAAAUAGGGCAUAUCGGCUGUCAUUUAUGGGCACUGCUUGUUCAUCACUGUAUUCUUUAUACACACUUUAUGGGAGACCAAGGGCUUGGAAUUUGCCGGCUUUGCAAGCUUAUUUUCAGUCAAUAAUUGCAACCAAAGACUUUAUAUACUUCAUCUACUGUCUUACAUUUGUCACUUCACAUCUUUGCCUCAAAUUUGCUUUAAUUCCGAUUUUAUGCCGAGCACUGGAGCAGAUUGCAAAGUUUUUAAGGCGCAAUUUCACUC